rnacentral:tRNA from 1 species
UGCCCAGUAGCUCAAUCGGCAGAGCGUCCGGCUCUGGACCGGGAGGCUGAUGGUUCGAAUCCAUCCUGGGCAGCCG